rnacentral:rRNA from 1 species
UACAGAGGGUGCAAGCGUUGUUCGGAAUUAUUGGGCGUAAAGGGCGCGUAGGCGGUGCGGUAAGUCUGUAGUGAAAUCUCUGGGCUCAACUCAGAGUCUGCUGCAGAAACUGCCGUGCUUGAGUGUGGGAGAGGUGAGUGGAAUUCCCGGUGUAGCGGUGAAAUGCGUAGAUAUCAGGAGGAAUACCUAUGGCGAAAGCAGGUAUCUGGGCCAUCACUGACGCUGGGCUGCGAAAGCUAGGGGAGCAAACAGG